UUUUAUUGAUUAAAGUUUUAUUAUUACAUCACAACGCAAGUUUUGUACUGAACAGUUUUUUGAGUUGUGUUUAUCUGUUCAGGUGAGGACACAAUAACAACAACAACUACUACAUCUCCUACAAAACGAACAACAACAAUUCCAAGUACGACAAAAACAACAACAACUGAAAACAGCAUAAAACCAGGAACCAACACGACAUCGUCUCCAAUCAAUGAUACUUCAACAGUACUAAAAGUCUCUCCAGGUUGGUGGAGGUUCAUCAUUGUGUCUGUGGGUUUAACAGCACUCAUAAUAAUUGUUGUGGCAGUCAACAUUUGGACAAGAACUAAACGUGAGAACAUCCACUGAUGAAAUAAACAGGAAGCUUUGGUAAACUUGGACUGUGAAAACUAAAGUAAUUUCUUUCACUUUUCUUUCAUUCUUUUCAGGGAAAAAAACACAGAUGCACGAAUACAUGGUGAGUUUUUACAACAAAAUAUUUUUACACGAGCAAACCAGUAUUUGCAUGUUCUUCAUUCAUUAUAAACUGUAGAUACAGACAGAAGAAUUAAAAAAUAAAGGUACGAUGAUGACGUAGGUCAAUUAGGUAAACAUGACAAUAUAAUGCAGUUCAUUCCAACCCCAACACAAACUGCUGCCUCCACAGACAUUGUGGAUUAAAAUCAACACCUAUUUGACAGCAAUGGAAUAAAGUCAGGACUGAAAUCAGGCUCAAUGUGCCUCGACACCCCUCACUAGCACUCCCAUCUCACUUUCAUGUCUUAAAAAUAAAAAAAGUAAACAUGAAUUAAAGAACUUGUGAUGCAGUUGUGUGACAUGCUUUGGUUUGAAUUCACUAAUCUUAAAUCCCUUUGGACAAUAUUUUGACAAAUUAGUCUAAUGUAAUGCCUAUGGACGCCCUGAAGGUCAGAGAAAUUGGACUGGGAUAAGAAAGUGUUCAGUUUUAUUGUUUCAGAGUGUGGGUUUGAUUGUGUUGUGUUGUUUUUCACAGGUGGGAGAUAAUGAAGAUGAUGGUACAGUGAACUAUGAAAACAUCACAUCAUCUGAUGUCUGACCAACACUUCUGCCUCCAUCAGACUUCUACAUCAACAUCAACUCAUCACCUUUUACAUGAGUAGACUUUAAAUAAAAGGACACAAGACCAUUUUGAGAAACAUAAUAUUUCAUUUUUGUCUUUUCUUGCGUCUGCAACUGGAUUUUAAAUUAAUUGAACUGGGAAGAGCAUUUAAAUUUUGUUUAACUUCCUUAAAUCUGCUUCCAAACAAAUCAUUUAGUCCUGACUGUAACUGAUCCAUUUUAAAUCUGCAGCUUUAGCUCAGUUUAGUGUCUGUUUAAGAAGAACUCAUUUAAAUUAACGUACAUUGAGCAUCUUUGUUAAUAUGUUUGUUAGAGUCCAAUAUGUUUUCGGUUUGUUUUUUGGAUUUGAGUCUUAAAGGAGUUCUUAACAGUUUUAUCUUAAUUACAUGUAUAAUUAUAUAAUCUGCAA
rnacentral:lncRNA from 15 species